rnacentral:rRNA from 1 species
UACGUAGGGUGCAAGCGUUAAUCGGAAUUACUGGGCGUAAAGCGUGCGCAGGCGGUCUUGUAAGACAGAGGUGAAAUCCCCGGGCUCAACCUGGGAACUGCCUUUGUGACUGCAAGGCUGGAGUACGGCAGAGGGGGAUGGAAUUCCGCGUGUAGCAGUGAAAUGCGUAGAUAUGCGGUGGAACACCGAUGGCGAAGGCAAUCCCCUGGGCCUGUACUGACGCUCAUGCACGAAAGCGUGGGGAGCAAACAGGAUUAGAUACCCUGGUAGUCCACGCCCUAAACGAUGUCAACUGGUUGUUGGGUCUUAACUGACUCAGUAACGAAGCUAACGCGUGAAGUUGACCGCCUGGGGAGUACGGCCGCAAGGUUGAA